CCCUCCCCUCUCUCCCUCCCACCCCAAACCGCUUUCACAAACUCCUUUCUUACCGUAGGUUUCUCCCCUCCCGCCGCCCGAGCGAGCGCCACGGCUGCGGCCCCCUCCCCUCCCUUCCCUCCCUCCCUCCCAUCCCCCCCUCCCCGAGACCCGCCGGACCCCGCACCCAGGUUGGAUGCCCACCCCACUCCUCCAGCCUCUGGCCCCCAGAGUGGAGGUUGCGAGCCGUACUGCCUUUGUUGCCGGAAGAGUUAUGUUAUAAUUUACCCUGGGUAGACCGGGGAUGCACAAAAGAUGUCUGGAUGUGACCUCGAGUGACUCUUCCCAAGACUUGGAGAUUUUCUAGUAAGGGAGUUGGGUGAAUUUCAUGUGGGGGGAAAGCAGAGCAAAGAAUCCUAUAGCUGAGAAUCUGAAUGAGCAGAAGGCGA
rnacentral:lncRNA from 1 species